UUUGCAGGGCAGGGUACUACUGCUUUCCCCCCCUUAUCUCGCUGUUGUUUUGUAUCGGUUGUCCUGCACCUAUUGGGAACCGGACAUCAGUCCCCGUUAAAUAAAGUGUGAAGGUUAGCGGAUGAUCGCUUCUGUCUUCCAUCCACGCUGAUUAGGGGAGAAUGGGAGUUGCAGUCCAACACGCCUAACGGGCACCAGGUUGGGUGUAAUGCUUUGAAACAGCUCCAUUGGUGGCAGGGCACAGAUGGUGUCUGGUAGACAACCUGAGAGAGGCUGACAAUGAGAUUUGAAGGCUCAGGAUAAAAAUCGCCUAGAGAAGAAAAAAGCUCUUUUAUGAAAGAUAAAAUCUAACAAAGGGCAGGGAAGUUGAGUCAAGGGGGAAAAACCAACAUGAUUCGGUGACUUCAAAAGCUCUAGAAAUAGUUCAACAGUUGUUGCUGAAUUCCUGCAAAAUCUAGCUUACGCAACAGAAUAUACAGAGGUGGCAGCUGGAAACAGAAACUAGAAGCCACGUGAUCAGCCUAAUCGCCAAAGAAUGGUGACACACUCCAAAGACUGUUGCUUUUGAAAUUAAGAAAAGCUGAACAAAUCCUAGGAUACUGCACCAUGUGAUUUCAGAAGGAAAUAUUUUCAUGGCCGUGCCAAAACAAAAGCCCUCAUUGGCAUUUGUCAGCUUCUAAUGGAUGUGAUCCAAAACCUUGCACAAGUGUGCGCAUACAUUCAGUGUGUGCACGAAGUUUCCCCCUGCUCACUGAGGACAACGGGGAACUUCCUAAGGUCUGCGUAUGCGACAUGCCAGAGGAGCAAUUUUCAGGGAUCCUUAGAGGUGCGGUUCAAACUUCAUUUCUCCCUUACUCAGAACAUCCCUCUCAAAUCCAGCCACUGAUCCAUCCAGUGCAGGAUAUUGCUCCUCAGAGUGGCCAACCAGUUGCCUUUAAGAAACCCACAAAUAGGACAAGAAAGCCACGGCUGCCUCUCACCGUUGAGCGUUCAGUGCCUCCGGCAGUGGGCCAGAGGCAAUGGAACAGCCAUCUCCAAGUGUCUGAAGGGCUGUCACAUGAACAGUGGAGCAAAUGUUUGUUGCUCCUGCUGCUGCACAGAGGAGGACUCAAUCCAAAGGGUUUGCAUGUCGGGAAAGGGAAUUUCGAGGCAGAACUCCCUGGUGGUGCAGUUUGACAGUGGAACCUCCUUUGCUAGAGGUUUUUAAACUGAGGCUGAAUGGCCACCCAUUGAGUACUAUAGCUCAUGAUUUUCUGCAUUGGCAGAACGAUAGCCUACAUCAUCAUCUAGGUCCCUUCCCGUUACAUGACUUUCUGGUCCAAGGCUCUGACCAGCAAGAAGCCACUGGAUGAUAUCAGAGUUAGAAGAAUUCUAAAGGAGGAUAAGGAGAUUGCAGAGAAACUGAAUGAAUUCUUUCAAUCUAUCUUCACUGCAGAGAGUACAGGACAGAUCCUGGCCUCAUCACAUGAAGCAGCUUGAUGGGGAAUUCAGGACAGAAGAACUUCUCCACACAGUGGAUCUUUAAACUGUGAUUUCACUUCCAGAAGAUACUGUGAUGGCCACCAAUUUGGAUGACUUAAAAUUGGACAAAUCCAUGGAGGAGCAGUGGCUUUUUGCAAUAUCUGGACCCUGCAUUGUGGUUUCCACUGUCUGGGAAUGCAAGUACCACAGAGUCCCUUGAAAAGAGUGGCAACUGCAGGAGCUCCUCCAGCCAUCCAGCCUCUACUAUCCUGCUUUGCCUCGCAACACGUGUGCCAUGGCCUCUCUCCUACACUUUUUGAGUGUCCCCUGAAAAAACAAUGACCUCCACUCUGCCUCCUUCAUUCCCUUCCUCUCAUAUAUUGUCUACAAUAUAUCUUGGGACUUUCAAAAGGCUCUGUGGCACAAACACAUUCCCAAAAGCCAACGCACAUUCCCAGGGAGCUGCAGACAAGGGCUGCCCCAGGAAAGCACACUCCUGAGAGACACUUUGCUCCAUCCCUGACUCACAUCCCUAGGCUCCCAUGGAGAGGAGGCUAACACCCAGUCUCUUUCCCCAAAGCACUGAAGCCUCCCAGUGCAGCAUGGGCUGUUACUCUGGACUGAAGAAGAACUGGGCACAUGCAUCGACCAGCCCAGGAGUCCUUGAGACCCACACACCAUGACCAGCUCUUCUCUUGGCUUUUGAAGCAGCUGAAAACAAGGAGCUUUUUGCAUGCUGCAUCCCAGUAUGAGAAUAAGCUGCAUGCAUGCAUGCAGAGGUAACUGCUGAGUUA